rnacentral:rRNA from 1 species
GCGCAGCAGGCGCGAAUCUUCCACAAUGGACGAAAGUCUGAUGGAGCGACGCCGCGUGCGGGAUGAAGGCCUUAUGGGUUGUAAACCGCUGUCAGGGGGAAGAACAUCGGAAUGAACAAUACUCAUUCCGACUGACGUUACCCCCAGAGGAAGCUCCGGCCAACUCCGUGCCAGCAGCCGCGGUAAAUACGGGGGGAGCAAGCGUUGUCCGGAAUUAUUGGGCGUAAAGGGCGUGUAGGCGGCGAGGUAAGUCGAAUGUGAAAUCUCACGGCUCAACCGUGAAACUGCGUUCGAAACUACCCUGCUUGAGUACGGGAGAGGUGUACGGAAUUCCUGGUGUAGCGGUGGAAUGCGUAGAUAUCAGGAAGAACACCGGU